rnacentral:lncRNA from 1 species
CGUCAUCACUCAGCUGUCACUGGUGCUUGUGUGGCUCCAUCUCCAUAGCACCCAGUGCCUCUCUGGCUCUAGCAUCUCUGCAGCAUGCCCACGAGGAGCAGCAGGAUGGCUGUUUCUGGAGAACACACCUAAUCCAUACCUGAACCUCCGGGCCAGUGGGGAGAAGGUCUGAGGGAGGGGAAAUCCUUCUUUUCCAUGCAGGCCUUGAUGGAGCAGUUGAUCUGAACACUUGGGGGCCUCUGAGCUGAGUCCCAAUCCUGCCAAAAUCGGUUGUCUGGGGGGAAGGUUCCCUGUAUUCACACUGCAACAGCAACAAGCAGACCGUGUGGGCACAGAGGGGUCUGAGGAAAUCUGCAGGAGGUAAAUAGAAAUAAAUCGGAGGGAAUCUGUCUCUCCAUCAGCUGCAUCCCUGAAGGGUAAUCUUUGGUCUUGGGCAGACAAGGGUAAGGGGGUUUUGCUAUGGCCUUCCUGAUACUAGUCUUGACCACCUGCCAAUGCUCUGUGGCACGUGGAAACCCCAGAGGCCAAAACAGAAGAGGAGGUGUUGUGGCACCUACCUGGUGCAGCAGCAACAGGAGCGAGUGGCUGAAUCCUUGGCAGUGAAUCUCACAGCUGUGGACACCCAGCUGGGAUUUCUCCAGGGCAGAUUGGACAGUGAAGAGAAUGGGACAUGUGUCAAAAUAGCCAGAAGGGACCCACUGAGUACACCCUCACUCACUUCACCAUCGUUCUUUUCAAAUCAGCUCUGGGCAAUCACCAAGUGUUGAUUCUACACCAUCACAUGCCAUCAUAUCAAAGAUCCCUCCCAGGGGCUCUCCAGGUCCUCCAGGGCUGGGCUGUGCAGCACCAGGGCUGGGAAGGCGUCGGGAGCUGCUGCAGGAGAGCACAGGCUGGCACUUGAGAGCAGAAAUGAGAAGAUCGAGGUGGCAGAAUAUAUUUUAUGACAAAUCCUAAAAGGAAAUUAUGCAAAGUAAUAAAAUAAAGAAGAAUUGUAAAUGAG